GCAAUAUAUGGUUAGUCUCCUCUGUUUGGAUGGAACAGGCCGUUCCUUUUCUCCCCGACCAUUCUCACAAAGAACAAUUUAAUGUGUGAUGCACUUUCAUAGGAAUGUUCAGCGUCAUCACAUUGGUCGGCAACCUUAUCAGGUAGGAUCUCCUGGCUCUUUUCUAAGCAUAGGAAUGGCAGGAUUUGCUGUGCGAGACUUCAGAGCACUUAGGUAAUUGUUGGAGGUGAUUGGAGAGUUAUCACACUAGAAAAGAAAAAGGAAAGAAAAACUGUUGAUAGAAAAACAAAAGGACAUUUGAAGGUUCACUACCGGAAACUUACUUCGCCGAAGUGCCUGGGACACACGGCAUCCUGGUUUGCUCUCGGCAAAGGCAUUGCCCUGGGCCGCCCAGGGCCAAAGGUGAGCUCAAAGCCUAAUUAUGGUACACAUCUUCAGUCUUCCUGGCAAACAACAUGAAGCAUAACUCCUCAUCAGUAUACUUAGGGCCAUCAACAAUCAGGUUGACAAAGUAAUGGUAUAACUCACACGGAUUUAAGAUAUUAUUAACAAACU
rnacentral:lncRNA from 1 species